UGAAAAGGAAAAAAAAGAAUAGUAUUGGAACGUGAUGAAGGGAAUCAAUCCCAGACCUUCAUCAUCAAAAGUUAAAAAACCAAAUUUUCUGGAAAAUAAAAGAAAGUGAAAAAAUGAAAUUGAAAAGAACAACAAUACAACAACACAACACAUCAUCAUCAUCUUCAUAGUUCAUCAACCCUUCAAAAUAAAAAUCAUCCUAUGUGCCUCUUCAAAAUUAAGAACCAUAUGCAUUUAAACAUUACUAGGUCUUCAAAUUAGAGUAGGAUUGAAGAAAAUGAAUAGCUUCAAAAGAUACAAUGUUUCUUUCCAAUCAUUCUCCUGCAUCGACGAAAUUGAAAAGCUUCAAAUAUCAUUAUCUCUUUCUUUGAAACCCAUAUAUCAUCUCUAUCAUUGUUUCCUCAACUCUUCUUGUAGGCCAUCACUAGUAAGCCACCCACGAAACACACCACGAUCCAACAAAUACGCAAUUCGUUUCAUGGUCAUCUCCCUCUGUUGCUCCAUGGACUGAUUAUAAUCAGGAUUCACAAACACCCUCCCGUUGACAUCCCGACGGUUGAAUAGUCUGCUCUGUAUCAUCAACCCAAAUAGCCAUUAUGGCCGUCUAAGAGCUUCCACAUUUCGAAGGUUUGAAUGUUGUUGGAUUUGAUUCGGAGAGAUCGGGAGGAGAGUAGCUAAGGCAAGCGUGGUGGUGGAGGAUUGAUGGUGUGGUUGGUGGGUCGUGGCGGAGGUGGUUGGUGAGGGUCAUGGUUCGACGGGUGAUGCGGUGGUUGUCCAUGGUCAAUGGAGAAGAUGAAGAUGAAGAUAGCGUGUGUUGGCCCCCUAAAUUAUGAUGAAGAUUCAUAAUUUUCUUGUUUUUUUUAAUUUUAUUUUAUAUAAUUUCCUAAAUAAUUAUGUUGCAAUUUUAUUUUUUUUAAUUUAAUAAAUAUACGCAUGGCAUGCCACAUAGUGGUUGACUUGGUCAAAAUUGACCAAAAGGUCACAAUUGCAAAGGGGCUAAAUCUUAGGGGGCAAAAUUUUCAUUUUUUUUAUUAGGGGACAAAAAUCGUAACAUUGACAAACUUAGGGGGCCAAAACCGUAGUUUAGCCUAGAUUUUUUGCCGUCGAUGUGGUCUAUAGUUACGAAUUUUACUCAUUAGACAUAACUUUUGGUUUUACCUACAGAUUUUAGCUUUAAUUAUAAAGCAUGAUAAGA
rnacentral:lncRNA from 1 species